GGGCCUGUGGCUCAGCCAGGUUAGAGCGGCUGGCUCUUAACCAGCAUGCCGUGGGUUCGAAUCCCACCAGGCCCGCCA
rnacentral:tRNA from 1 species